GAUGAACGCCGACAGAAUGCUUAACACAUGCAAGUCAACUUGAACUUCGGUUUGGGUGGCGGACGGGUGAGUAACGCGUAAAGAACUUGCCUCACAGCUAGGGACAACAUUUGGAAACGAAUGCUAAUACCUGAUAUUAUGAUUAUAUGGCAUCGUAUAAUUAUGAAAGCUAUAUGCGCUGUGAGAGAGCUUUGCGUCCCAUUAGCUAGUUGGAGAGGUAACAGCUCACCAAGGCGAUGAUGGGUAGCCGGCCUGAGAGGGUGAUCGGCCACAAGGGGACUGAGACACGGCCCUUACUCCUACGGGAGGCAGCAGUGGGGAAUAUUGGACAAUGGACCGAGAGUCUGAUCCAGCAAUUCUGUGUGCACGAUGAAGUUUUUCGGAAUGUAAAGUGCUUUCAGUUGGGAAGAAAAAAAUGACGGUACCAACAGAAGAAGUGACGGCUAAAUGCGUG
rnacentral:rRNA from 1 species